rnacentral:misc_RNA from 1 species
UCCUAGCCCGGAUUGAACGGUAUGUUUGAGCUCUUUUUGCUAAAAAGGAAAGGCAAGGCGCAAAAAAGCGAGUAGUGAAAGCCGGAAAUAGC